rnacentral:snRNA from 1 species
UGGAGCGGUCUGGGAAGGC